CUGUAACUGUCAAAGGCUGCCUCUGGUGACUUCCUCCGGCAGGAGCACGCCUCCUGAAACUCCCCAAACACUGCCACCAACCGCGAUAACAGUGUUCAAGUAUCCGAGUGUCCGGGAGAUAGUAUCAUUCAAACCACCACUGUACGAUGUUGUUUAUUUGUGGGUUCUGGGGUUGACCUCAGGGUCUCGUGCUUGUGUGGCUGGCAUGUUACGAACGGAGCCUCCUCUCCCUCCCUAGUAAAUGGAUCCCAUGCUACUUUUCCUCAUGGUGGGGAUACUAUAUGCCAUGCUACCCAUCCAAAGUGGACCUACAAGCACAGAAAGUAUGAGCCACACGCUGAAACCCUGGAGAGCGCCAGGUACCCUUAAGUACCUUUUCCGUGAGGUUUUUCCAACCUAGACACCCUGCGAUGCUGGACUCAGUCAUUUUUGGAGGUAGCCGUGUCUUGCACAUCAUCGGACGCCCUGCACAUCUCCUCGUCCCGUUUAUCAGAUGCUGAUAGCAAAACCUCUCUUCUUCCUCAGCCUUGACAACCAAAAUAUCUAGAUAGAGUCGAAUGUUCUAGAAACGGCGAGCAAAGCAGAGACGAUAGCAGAACCGCUAUCUGGAUCUGUGAAUCCCUUUAGGACUUGGUCUCCUUACAGUAAAAUGGUGGACUUUUAAAAGUUUCCAAAGUCAUUCGAAGAUAGGGCAUCGCUGAGCGUAAACCUGCCUGGAGGGGGGCACACGCUUCUCCCUGCUUAUGGCAGUGGGGGUGCAACAGCCAGGGAAGAUGAGCGUCUGUGCUACACGGCCUUCAUCUCCUUUCCCCAUUGCAUAGGAUCGAUUUACCGUUAUGGCGUUGAGUGGACAGGAAGCCAUGAGGAGGGAAUGACAGCUUCCUAUAUUCUCUCCCCUGUCGGUAGCCAAAUCUCCCUGCCAAUCAGUUCUCUAACAUCACACGAUUGACUGCAUUCAGGGUGGGCUUUGGACCUGGUGAGGGGUCCUCUCCAGAACAUGCCCACAACCCGUGCUUUCUCACACACCACAGCCGCUGAGUGAUUCCUGUCAGGAGGCCCCUCAUCUUCCAAGUGAGUCUCAAAGACACCCCGAUGAACCACUUCGGGAAAAUGAAAGGCUGCCUUCCUUAAGUAAAGGCCAUCUUUCACAUGACCAGCAAGAUGGCUUCUGCCUCCCACUCCAUACCAGGGCGGCGGGGCCAGGUGAGGAGAUCACAAGUCAGGGUAGCAGGUAGGGUACACCACAGGGGUUCAAGGGGGUAGAUUUAAAAUGUGAGGAUUUGCCUCCCUCCUGAAGCUUGGGUUUUCCUGCUUGUGAUGGAACUGGCCAUUUAAUCACAUUGCAAAGAUGGCAUCCUUCUUUAGGGCAGGGAGUGUAGAUGGAAGGAGUCAAGGCAAUAAGCCCAGUGAAAGACAGCGCUGAGACACAAGAGAAAGCAGAGACCCGAGUGGCCUGACUUGCAAGCCUAGACUCCUGGAUUUCAACAGGCAGCUCCCUUCCCACUUUCACAUGACUGUGGUUGUUACAACCCAACACAGAGCAGCGCUUCCUGUCAAGAUGACACAGCUAUAAAUUAAUUAUAAAUCAAUUUGCUAUAAGAUCUUGUCUAGAGCCAGAGUUCUGAGAUUUCCCCGUUUCUGUUCCUCUUUUCCUUUUAAAAACUACAGGAAGC